CCCUAGUAACGGCGAGUGAAGCGGCAACAGCUCAAAUUUGAAAUCUGGCUCCUUCGGGGCCCGAGUUGUAAUUUGCAGAGGAUGCUUCGGGUGCGGGUACCUACUGAGUUCCCUGGAACGGGACGCCAUAGAGGGUGAGAGCCCCGUCUGGUAGGACACCCAGCCCAUGUGAAGCUCCCUCGACGAGUCGAGUAGUUUGGGAAUGCUGCUCUAACGGGAGGUAUACUCCUUCCAAGGCUAAAUACCGGCUGGAGACCGAUAGCGCACAAGUAGAGUGAUCGAAAGAUGAAAAGCACUUUGAAAAGAGAGUCAAAUAGCACGUGAAAUUGUUGAAAGGGAAGCGCUCGCUACCAGACUUGGGUUCGGCGGUUCAACCGGGGCCACGCCCCGGGGCACUCCGCCGUCCCAGGCCAGCAUCAGCUUUCCGUCGGGGGCAAAGACGUCGGGAAUGUGGCUCCCCUCCGGGGGAGUGUUAUAGCCCGGCGUGUCAUACCCUUCGGGGGGCUGAGGUACGCGCUUCUGCAAGGAU
rnacentral:rRNA from 1 species